CAGGGGCUGAGGCGGCCCCGGAUGAGUCGGCAGAGCAGGACGGCAGUCCUAGUGGCUUCCUCCUUGCCGGCUGGUCCCCGACACCCAGUCAAUGAUGAUGAAGCUCAAGCUCAUGGUCAUCA